rnacentral:rRNA from 1 species
CUUUGGUGGCGACCGGCGCACGGGUGCGUAACGCGUAUGUAACCUACCUAUAACAGGGGCAUAACACUGAGAAAUUGGUACUAAUUCCCCAUAAUAUUCGGAGAGGCAUCUCUCCGGGUUGAAAACUCCGGUGGUUAUAGAUGGACAUGCGUUGUAUUAGCUAGUUGGUGAGGUAACGGCUCACCAAGGCAACGAUACAUAGGGGGACUGAGAGGUUAACCCCCCCACACUGGUACUGAGACACGGACCAGACUCCUACGGGAGGCAGCAUG